rnacentral:rRNA from 1 species
CCUACGGGUGGCAGCAGUGAGGAAUAUUGGUCAAUGGGCGCGAGCCUGAACCAGCCAAGUCGCGUGAGGGAAGACGGUCCUAUGGAUUGUAAACCUCUUUUAUACGGGAAUAACGCGCCUUACGUGUAGGGCUUUGCAUGUACCGUAUGAAUAAGGACCGGCUAAUUCCGUGCCAGCAGCCGCGGUAAUACGGAAGGUCCGGGCGUUAUCCGGAUUUAUUGGGUUUAAAGGGAGCGUAGGCCGCAUGUCAAGCGUGCUGUGAAAUGUCCGGGCUCAACCCGGGCCUUGCAGCGCGAACUGGCGUGCUUGAGUCCGCGGAAAGCAGGCGGAAUUCGUCGUGUAGCGGUGAAAUGCUUAGAUAUGACGAAGAACCCCGAUUGUGAAGGCAGCUUGCUGCAGCGGAACUGACGCUGAUGCUCGAAAGCGCGGGUAUCGAACAGGAUUAGAUACCCCUGUAGUC